rnacentral:misc_RNA from 1 species
ACGCAGCCCGGCUUGAGUGGAGCUCUUUUUCUGUCAUUGCGAUUGACAAAAGCUCUAGAAAUUGCUUCACUUCGUUCGCAAUGACAGAAAAAAGCGGGAACGGAAGACGGAAAUAGC